rnacentral:misc_RNA from 1 species
ACGGAUCGAUCGUUAAUGAAGAUUCGGGCCGUCCAGACGGCAAACAGUGUCCCUGGCCGCCUACACCCACUAUACAUCCACAAACCCGUGUGCACUGUCUUGGAGAAAGGCUUCAGAGAAGUUUUUUGUGGCCUCUCUUGGGGUCUUUCUUCGCUACAAACUCGAAUGGUUAGUAUGAACGUGGAACUUGGUUGGACCGUCACUGGCCAACAAACUAUACACAACUUUCGACAACGGACCUCUUGGUUCCGGCA